rnacentral:misc_RNA from 1 species
GAUGAAGAACGUAGCGAAAUGCGAUAAGUAGUGUGAAUUGCAGAAUUCAGUGAAUCAUCGAAUCUUUGAACGCACAUUGCGCCCCUUGGUAUUCCAUGGGGCAUGCCUGUUCGAGCGUCAUUUGUACCUUCAAGCUUUGCUUGGUGUUGGGUGUUUGUCUCGCCUUUGCGUGUAGACUCGCCUUAAAAUAAUUGGCAGCCGGCGUAUUGAUUUCGGAGCGCAGUACAUCUCGCGCUUUGCACUCAUAACGACAGCGUCCAAAAGUACAUUUUACACUCUUGACCUCGGAUCAGGUAGGGAUACCCGCUGAACUUAAGCAUAUCAUAACGGAGGA